GGAGGCGUCGCCUAGUCGGCCUAUGGCGCCCGCCUGCUAAGCGGGAGACGGUGUUGAACCGUCACGCGGGUUCGAAUCCCGCCGCCUCCG
rnacentral:tRNA from 1 species